GAGCAAUCACAAUCUUUAUUUUCCUCUAUGAUUAUUGUUUAUUUGGUUUUCUAGUUCUAGACCCAAAAUUGGUCACUUUUUUCCUAGAAAAUAAUUUAUCUCAUACAGAUUUUCAAGGGGGUAAAGUUGUGUGUAGCAUUUGAAUAAUCAUCAUAAUAACUCUUCUAUAGUCAAUUCUUUCUUUAAUAUGUCUGCUUUUCUUAACUGGAAUUUUUGCCUAAGAUAUUUUUAACAAUUUAAUAAAAAUCAAGGGAUACAUUGUUCAUCAGUCUAAGGUAUAGCCUCUCCAGAAAUCAUCCAAAAAUGACAGUUUCAUAUAAAAAGUUUUUGACUUUCUACAGUAAUAAGAUUCAUAUAUUUUCUCACUAUGUCCAGAAAUUCUGGCUGGAUUAUUUAGGGGGCUGAUGUGAGGACUGAAUGAGUUAAUACAUGCUAAGGUGUUAAUAUAUAGUGCCUGACACAUAGUAAAUGUUCAACUUACUGCUAUAGUGGACAAAAACUGCUAAUAAUGAUGAUAUUAGCUACAGACUCCUUUUCUAUCAGCCAUACCACCCAGCACAGGCCUAGGCAAAAAAUACAAUAUUUAGGUAGAUGCUCAGUGACUAUGUCAACAUUUGAGAUUUCCCUUUACACUCAAAAUUUAGCUUACUUUAUGUGUUUUCUAAAAUAUUCUAGGUAUUAAUUAAUUUAUUAAUUUAUUUAUUUUGAGACGGAGUCUCACUGUCACCCAGGCUGGAGUGCAGUGGCGUGAUCUCAGCUCACUGCCAGCUCUGCCUCAUGGGUUCACGCCAUUCUCCUGUCUCAGCCUCCCGAGUAGCUAGGACUACAGGCGCCCGCCACCACGCCCGGCUAAUUUUUUGUAUUUUUAGUAGAGACGGGGUUUCAUCGUGUUAGCCAGAAUGGUCUCGAUCUCUUGACCUCGUGAUCCACCUGCCUCAGCCUCCCAAAGUGCUGGGAUUGCAGGCGUGAGCCACCGCGCCCAGCCGUAUUAAUUUUUAUUUUUAUUUUUCAGAGACUGUGUUGCCCAGGCUGGAGUGUAGACCAGCCUGAGUUUGAGACCAGCCUGAGCAACAUAGUGCAACCCUGUCUCUACAAAAACAAAAAAUUAACGCAGGCAUGGUGGCCCACGCUUGUAGUCAGCUACUCUGGAGACUGGGUGGAAGGAUAGGCUGAGCAAGGGAGGUCGAGGCUGCAGUGAGCCAUGAUCGCGCCACUGCACUCCAGCCUAGGUGACAGAGCGAGAUCCUGUCUCAAAAAUAAAUAAACAAAUAAAUAAUAAAAUAAAAAUCAGCUGUUGGUUCAACUCAACUUUCUUAAUUUUGUUUAUGAAUGUCUGCCUUAUCUUAAUGUUCAGGAUUAUUUAUUUGAGACCGGGUUUCGCUCUGUCGCCCAGGCUGGAGUGCAGUGGCGUGGUCUCAGCUCACUGCAGUCUCCUCCUCCCGGGCUCAAGGGAUCAUCCCACCUCAGCCCCCCAAGUAGCUGGGAUUACAGGCGCGCGCCACCACGCCCGGCUGAUUUUUGUAUUUUUUUGUAGAGGAAGGGUCUCGCUUUUUUGCCCAGGCUGGUCUUGAACUCCUGGACUCAAGCGAUCCGCCUGCCUCGGCCUCCCAAGGUGCUGGGAUUUCGGCCGUGAGCCACCGCGCCCGGCCUAAUCAUGUUCGGGCUUUCUUAUUUUCUAAUCAAUGUAUUUAAGGCGAUACAUUUUCCUCAGAGUGUCGCUUUGACUGCAUGCCACAAUGUGAAUAAUGACAGGCAGGGAUGUAUAUUAGGCGCUUAUCACAGUUAGUGCUGAAUAUUGGUUAGUUCCCUUUAACCUUAUCCUGUACUUGGCCGACAAGCAUUUGUUGGGCGUCCGCCCGACGCCAAGAAGCUCUUUUUCAAAGCCGCUUUCCCUGCGCAGCCCCUGUUCUCCCGCGCGGGCAACUACUCCCGGCCUGGCCGUCUCGCCCCCUCACGUCACUCACCGCCCCGCCACGUUCUCAUGACACCACGCAGGUGCCAGCAACAAACUCCAGAACCCUCCGUGCCCUUCCGCUUUUCCAAAGGCAUCUCUGGGACGACGGCAAGAAAAAUAGUUCCUUGACAACUGAGCGCUUUUCAGGAGGAGGCGGGACCAGGCGGGACUUACAGGCGGAACGAAACGGAAGUCCGUGGUCCUGGUAACGGGAUUGGGCCCCGCGCUCCCGGGGGGCGGGCUCAGAUGGGCGGAGGGAUUCAUUUUAAGCAACGGGCGGCCCUCCGCCUCCAUUGAAGGCGGGGAAAUACCGCGGCGCGGGCGGUAGUUGCUGUGGUUUCCGUUCUGAGCUCGCAGCUUAGGAGCUGAAGAUCGCGGACUUAGCGUUCCCGCGUCCGAGUCCGGCCAUCAGUGGCUGCAGAUCCGGAGGUCAGGAGCUCAACCACCCUUCUUCGGAACAGGGCCGGCCUGCUGCUGUGCCUUCGACGCUCGGUGCCUGUAUCUACUCCGGGGCCUAGGUCGGCUCCGGGGGCGGCUUAGGAGAAGGCCGCCGGCGAGAUGUUCAAAAACACGUUCCAGAGCGGCUUCCUCUCCAUCCUCUACAGCAUCGGCAGCAAGCCUCUGCAAAUCUGGGACAAAAAGGUACGGAAUGGCCACAUCAAAAGAAUCACUGAUAAUGACAUCCAGUCCCUGGUGCUGGAGAUUGAAGGGACAAAUGUAAGCACCACAUAUAUCACAUGCCCUGCAGACCCCAAGAAGACGCUGGGAAUUAAACUUCCUUUCCUUGUCAUGAUUAUCAAAAACCUGAAGAAGUAUUUUACCUUCGAAGUGCAGGUACUAGAUGACAAGAAUGUGCGUCGUCGCUUUCGGGCAAGUAACUACCAGAGCACCACCCGGGUCAAACCCUUCAUCUGCACCAUGCCCAUGCGGCUGGAUGACGGCUGGAACCAGAUUCAGUUCAACUUGCUAGACUUCACACGGCGAGCAUACGGCACCAAUUACAUCGAGACCCUCAGAGUGCAGAAUCCAUCCCUAAGACAAGCCAAGGAGAUGCCGGAGAUGACGCGUUUCCAGUCCUGGAAGAGGGCCUCUAGAAGAUUCAGGAAAAGGGGGAGAACAGUCACAUUUCGCCUCUCAAAAGAAGCAUUGCCUUGACAGAUCCAUGCAAAUUGUCGCAUCCGACGGGUUUACUUCUCAGACAGACUCUACUCAGAAGAUGAGCUGCCGGCAGAGUUCAAACUGUAUCUCCCAGUUCAGAACAAGGCAAAGCAAUAACUGGAAUUGUGACUCGAGGGAUAGACCCUGGAUGUGACUCUUCUUUUUAAAAGGAAACUAUGUGGAGGACGAUGCAAAAACAUAUUUAUCUUAGUUUGCUCUGCUGUAGUUCUGUUAUUUAUACUUGGUGUUGCUUGUCAUGGACACCGGUGAACAUGCCGUAACUCUGUGACUGCAUUGUAAGUGCAGUGGGGGUAAGCAGUCCUGUGAGUGGCGCAUGAACGCUGGAGCUUAUUCCGCCGCCUGCCCCAGUGUGGGGGGAGAUACCUUUACCAUGAACUUACAGAAUUAAAGAUGGCCCAUAAGGAAUUCCAGACCAAUAUUUCUUCCUGCGGUUUAUUCUAUGUUUUAUAUAUUAUCUAAAUAUAUGUAUAUGCUGUGUCAUACUCAUAAUCUGGAAAUGAAUAAAAUGAUAUAUUCCUGGUUUGUAAA